rnacentral:tRNA from 1 species
GUUUUGGUAGCUCAAGAAGAGCUUUACAUUGAAGCUGUGAAGGUAGUUACGCUCCGAAAUA